GUGCUCACUUUGGCAGCACAUAUACUAAAACUGGAACAAUACAGAGACGAUUAGCAUGGACCCUGUGGAAGGUUGUCACGCAAAUUCACGAAGCAUUUCAUAUUUUG
ensembl:snRNA U6 U6 spliceosomal RNA